rfam:Blastocystis sp. NandII AV274scaffold_197, whole genome shotgun sequence.
GUGUACGUUGAGCCGAGAGAAGGUUAGCAUCUCCCUCGAUAAGGACGAGAAAAGGGAUUUCCCUUCCAUUCACAUGAGGUUAAAGUCUUGUUCUUCGGAACAUAUAACCAUUUUUU